rnacentral:rRNA from 1 species
AACGAACGCUGGCGGCGUGCCUAACACAUGCAAGUCGCGCGAGAAAGUGGGGGCAACUCCAUGAGUAAAGCGGCGCACGGGUGAGUAGUACGUAGGUAACCUGCCUUCGAGAUCGGGAUAACCUUCCGAAAGGAGGGCUAAUACUGGAUGAGACCACAGAGCUUCGGCGCCGUGGUCAAAGGUGGCCUCUGCUCGCAAGCUACCGCUCGGAGAUGGGCCUGCGCACCAUUAGCUAGUUGGCGAGGUAACGGCUCACCAAGGCGAAGAUGGUUAACUGAUCUGAGAGGAUGAUCAGCCACACUGGGACGGAGACACGGCCCAGACUCCUACGGGAGGCAGCAGUGGGGAAUCUUGGACAAUGGGGGAAACCCUGAUCCAGCGACGCCGCGUGGGUGAUGAUGGCCUUCGGGUCGUAAAGCCCUGUCGGGGGGGAAGAAACUCCUGCCGGUGAAUAACCGGCGAGACUGACGGUACCCCCUAAGGAAGCACCGGCUAACUCCGUGCCAGCCGCCGCAGUAACAC